rnacentral:rRNA from 1 species
UACGUAGGGUGCUAGCGUUGUCCGGAUUUAUUGGGCGUAAAGGGCUCGUAGGCGGCGUGUCGCGUCGGGAGUGAAAGCCCGCUGCUUAACGGCGGGUUGGCUUCCGGUACGGGCAUCGCUGGAGUGCGGCAGGGGAGACUGGAAUUCCUGGUGUAGCGGUGAAAUGCGCAGAUAUCAGGAAGAACACCCGUGGCUAAGGCGGCUCUCUAGUACGGUACUGACGCUGAGACGCGAAAGCGUGGGGAGCGAACAGG